GUUCCACUUGGGGGACAAAUCGAGGAACCCUAUUUAAUCCUUUUUAAUGACAAUACACUAGGCCUAGCACAGUGUUUCCCAAUCCUCGUCCUGCUGACCCCAAGGGUUGCCUGUUUUUUUGUUACUGAUUAACAUUGUUUUUACCGCAGUCAGAUAUAAUGGAUCCAAGAAUACAAAAACAGCGCCAGGACAUCCCUGCACCAGAGGCCGCAGCAGUAUUGAUUAGCAUCAGGCCAUGUACAGUUUACCGGUUGAGGAAACAGCUGUGUCAUGUUUCGGACCCUCCAGAACACUGUGGUUGGACAUAUCGAGGCAGAAAAGGUCAGUGUUUUCACUGACGUGUCUGAUUAUCUUCACGGCUUUCAACCCUCGUCUUCACAAUGCGGCGCAGAGAUCUUAUCCGGAGCGUGUUUUCACCUGCUCGUUCUCGCCGCGACGAGAAAGAGUGCCCCCAUAUGCCUGGAUGUGGUUGAAGUGCCACGCAUAGCGCAGUCAAAAGCCUCCGAGGCCUGUCCGUCACAAAGCCCGUUAGUUUAUUUUGGUUUCUCCCGUGUCCCCCAAA